CUAAGGCGAGGCCGGAUGGCGUAGUCGAUGGACAACAGGUUAAUAUUCCUGUACCACGUAAUACCGAUUGAGUGAAGGGGUGACGCAGGGGGGUAGGCCAGCCAGUUAUUGGAUUCCGGUGCUAAGCCUGUAGGGCGGUGAAGGGGAUAGGGAAAACCGUUCCUGGAGCCUGAGGGGUGAUGGCGGAGCCCGAGAGGGCCGGAAGUGGCUGAGCCCGAGCUGCCGAGAAAAGCCUCUAGCGAGGUAUGCGUGACCGUACCGCAGACCGACACAGGUAGAUGGGUAGAGAAUACCAAGGCGAACGGGAGAACCCUUGUUAAGGAACUAGGCAAAUUAAGUCCGUAACUUAGGGAAAAGGACUGCCACUGGUUGUGAGGACGACUAGCUUGUCUGAGCGAUUGGUGGUCGCAGCGAAAUGGCUCUGCCGACUGUUUAACAAAAACACAGGUCUCUGCGAAAGCGAAAGCUGACGUAUAGGGGCUGACGCCUGCCCAGUGCCGGAAGGUUAAGGGGAGAUGUGAUGAGCAUUGAACCGAAGCCCCGGUGAACGGCGGCCGUAACUAUAACGGUCCUAAGGUAGCGAAAUUCCUUGUCGGGUAAGUUCCGACCCGCACGAAAGGCGUAACGAGCAGAGCACUGUCUCAACAAGGGACCCGGCGAAGUUGAAAUAGCGGUGAAGAUGCCGUUUACCCGCAGCAGGACAAAAAGACCCCGUGGAGCUUUACUGUAGCUUGACAUUGAGUUAGGGCUUUGUCUGUGUAGGAUAGGUGGGAGGCUGUGAAGCUGGUCCGCUAGGAUCGGUGGAGUCGACGUUGAAAUACCACCCUGAUGGAGUCUUGGCUCUAACCUGUGGCCCUAAUCGGGCAUGGGGACAGUGUCUGGUAGGCAGUUUGACUGGGGCGGUCGCCUCCUAAAGAGUAACGGAGGCGCCCAAAGGUUCCCUCAGGCUGAAUGGAAACCAGCCGUAGAGUGUAAAGGCAUAAGGGAGCUUGACUGCGAGACAAACAAGUCGAGCAGAGACGAAAGUCGGGCUUAGUGAUCCUACGGUUCCGAGUGGAAGGGCCGUGGCUUAACGGACAAAAGCUACCCCGGGGAUAACAGGCUGAUCUCCUCCAAGAGUUCACAUCGACGAGGAGGUUUGGCACCUCGAUGUCGGCUCGUCGCAUCCUGGGGCUGAAGUAGGUCCCAAGGGUCCGGCUGUUCGCCGGUUAAAGCGGUACGCGAGCUGGGUUCAGACCGUCGUGAGACAGGUCGGUCUCUAUCCGCUGUGGGCGAAGGGGAUUUGAGAGGGGCUGCCCCUAGUACGAGAGGACCGGGGUGGACAGACCGCUGGUGUACCAGUUGUCUCGCCAGAGGCAUUGCUGGGUAGCUAAGUCUGGCAGCGAUAACCGCUGAAAGCAUCUAAGUGGGAAACGCGCCUCAAGAUGAGAUCCCCCACUGUAAAGGGUAAGUGCACCGGGAGACUACCGGUUAGAUAGGCGGCAGGUGUACGCACUGUGAGGUGUUGAGCCGAGCCGUACUAAUGCACGAGGACUU
rnacentral:rRNA from 1 species